GGGGGGUAUCACCCCUUCGUCCCAGUGCCGAGCCGACGCUACUGGAGCCAGAGGGAUUCUGGGGUCCAGGGAAGACCUCCGCACACUGAUGUCGCACACGCGGAUCACAACGUAGGAAACUUGUUUUCGCGCACUCGAGUAUAAAACACGUCCGGUACGCAACGACUUUCCACUCUCUCCUGGGGACUCGGUGUGUCCGCUGAUGUAUGAAACGUUUGAUUGAAUUGACAGCACACACACACACACACGCACACACUCCGCACACACCCCCUUGCCCUCAAGGGUCCAAGGGCCAAUCGAGCGCGUAUCGAAUGCGAACUCAACUCCACGAUCCACGCUCCACGGCCCUCAGCUUCUGGCCAUAAAAAACAAGAUGUCAUAAAUUUUCAACGCAUUUCUCUGUUUGUUUUCCACGGUGCUUUUCCACCCACCCCCACCCCCUCUCCAUUCCCUUUGCUCGUUUCACGUUUUAAGCGUUUGCGUGUGCAUUUUGCGGCCGCCCUUGCUUUUUAUGCACAUUAAGUUAAUUGGAAAACUCAUAAGGCCCAAUGAGCAUCGCGGCCACCUUGCGGAUUGAGCUAGUCACUGCUAACGGGGCCCCGAAACAUUAAUCUCCGUUUGCCACUAAGCAGGGGAAGUGGAAGUGCCCCACUGAUUACUGGGCCGCCGCCCCACCAAAUAAACAAACAGAGCGGCGGGGGGAAAUUGAAAAAUUUUAAUCUCUGCCGCGAAGCGGAAACACGCGGCGUAGUGUUGUCAUUUUGUAUUUUUAAAAGGACCUAUUGCAGUUCGAAACAUUUUUAGAGAAGUUUUUAAAAAAGAAAAGAUCAAAAGAUAUAUCAGAACUUAUAAAUAAGCUACUUGUUGUAAAACAGAAUAUUUCUACCAAAAGAUUAGACCUUACAAAUAUUUUUAAAUUAUAGUAUACUUUUUUGCUGUUGUCACUUAAUAAUUGUAAACUACAAAUAUUAUUUUUUAUGACUA